rnacentral:rRNA from 1 species
CAGCAGCCACGGUAAUACCAGCAGCCCAAGUGGUGGUCGCGAUUAUUGGGCCUAAAGCGCUCGUAGCCGGGCCGGUAAGUCCCUUGUGAAAUCGGACGGCCUAACCGUUCGGCGUGCAAGGGAUACUGUCGGUCUUGAGGCCGGGAGACGUCCGAGGUACUCCGGGGGUAGCGGUGAAAUGUUCUGAUCCUCGGGGGACCACCGGUGGCGAAGGCGUUCGACGAGAGCGGGCCUGACGGUGAGGGGCGAAGGCUAGGGGAGCAAACGGGAUUAGAUACCCCGGUAGUCCCUGUCUCUUAUA